rnacentral:rRNA from 1 species
AGGACGAACGCUGGCGGCGUGCUUAACACAUGCAAGUCGAACGGUGAAGGAGAGCUUGCUCUCCGGAUCAGUGGCGAACGGGUGAGUAACACGUGAGUAACCUGCCCUUGACUCUGGGAUAAGCGUUAGGAAACGACGUCUAAUACCGGAUACGAGCUUCAGCCGCAUGGCUAGGAGCUGGGAAAGGUAAUUUCGGUCAAGGAUGGACUCGCGGCCUAUCAGCUAGUUGGUGAGGUAAUGGCUCACAAGGCGACGACGGGUAGCCGGCCUGAGAGGGUGACCGGCCACGACGUGGACUGGAGACACGGCCAGACCUCCGUACGGAGGCAGCGAGGUGGGGAAUAGUGGAACAAGUGGGACGAAAGCCUAGA